GACUGGGUUAUAGUACAUUGGCUCAGAGGACCUCAGAGUGCUUUCUAAACAGCUUAACCUUCAUUUCCUACCUGUGAGAGGCACCUAGAAGCCCUAGCUGAGAUCAGAGACUGGUUGUGUGAAAUGUUGUACAAACACCCAGCAAGAGACAGUCCCUGCCCCAAAGAACUUACAUGAUCAAUGAUUUGGAGAGUAUGAAGUGCACCCUCCAUAUGGGCACGUCUCUGCUCUGGACAUACCACUUUUCAAUCACACAAAGGCAGCCCGAGGGCCCCAGUAGUCACUUUCUUACGGUACUGAUUCUCUG